AGAGUUUGAUCCUGGCUCAGAGCGAACGCUGGCGGCAGGCUUAACACAUGCAAGUCGAGCGGGCGUAGCAAUACGUCAGCGGCAGACGGGUGAGUAACGCGUGGGAACGUACCUUUUGGUUCGGAACAACACAGGGAAACUUGUGCUAAUACCGGAUAAGCCCUUACGGGGAAAGAUUUAUCGCCGAAAGAUCGGCCCGCGUCUGAUUAGCUAGUUGGUGAGGUAACGGCUCACCAAGGCGACGAUCAGUAGCUGGUCUGAGAGGAUGAUCAGCCACAUUGGGACUGAGACACGGCCCAAACUCCUACGGGAGGCAGCAGUGGGGAAUAUUGGACAAUGGGGGCAACCCUGAUCCAGCCAUGCCGCGUGAGUGAUGAAGGCCCUAGGGUUGUAAAGCUCUUUUGUGCGGGAAGAUAAUGACGGUACCGCAAGAAUAAGCCCCGGCUAACUUCGUGCCAGCAGCCGCGGUAAUACGAAGGGGGCUAGCGUUGCUCGGAAUCACUGGGCGUAAAGGGUGCGUAGGCGGGUCUUUAAGUCAGGGGUGAAAUCCUGGAGCUCAACUCCAGAAUUGCCUUUGAUACUGAAGAUCUCGAGUCCGGGAGAGGUGAGUGGAACUGCGAGUGUAGAGGUGAAAUUCGUAGAUAUUCGCAAGAACACCAGUGGCGAAGGCGGCUCACUGGCCCGGUACUGACGCUGAGGCACGAAAGCGUGGGGAGCAAACAGGAUUAGAUACCCCAGUAGUCC
rnacentral:rRNA from 1 species